GCCCGGCUAGCUCAGUCGGUAGAGCAUGAGACCCUUAAUCUCAGGGUUGUGGGUUCGAGCCCCAUGUUGUGUG
rnacentral:tRNA from 1 species